UACGUAGGGUGCAAGCGUUGUCCGGAAUUAUUGGGCGUAAAGAGCUCGUAGGCGGUCUGUCACGUCGGCUGUGAAAUCCCGAGGCUCAACCUCGGGUCUGCAGUCGAUACGGGCAAAAUAGAGUAUUGCAGGGGAGACUGGAAUUCCUGGUGUAGCGGUGAAAUGCGCAGAUAUCAGGAGGAACACCGGUGGCGAAGGCGGGUCUCUGGGCAAUAACUGACGCUGAGGAGCGAAAGCGUGGGGAGCGAACAGG
rnacentral:rRNA from 1 species